CUAUUUUCUCCACUUUUCACGACGUAUUUUAUUUUGUGGGCACAUUCGAAGACGGACUCCAAACAUUUAUAAAAUGCAAGAGAGGGCAUUACCGUUUUACUUUAAACGUUCUCCUAUGCAAACCCAAGUUCCAGUGGUGGCUUUCUUAUCGACGCGUAGGAAUCCAUUAGCCUAAUAUCACUUUUACUGCAAUUUGUUCUCAAGAUUUUUAUUAAUUAGGGUUUGUGUUUGCCCACAACAGGGCUGGAUAAUUUAUAGGUGCAGUUCUAUUUGAUAAGUUAAAAAAAUAGCCCUUAUUUUUACCAGAGACGACUCGAUUCGAUUCGGACGAGUGUUGAAAGGGAUAUCUGAAGAAAGCAGGAAUGGCCUUAGAAUCACCUACAAGGUCCUGGGACAGGCAGGAAGAUUUACCUAGGGGCACGAGGGAGGAGUAUGGAAGAAGAUCAGCCGACCUUGAUCUCAAUCAAGCUGUGACAAAAGAUGAAGGUGAUGAUUAUGAUUACCAACCUUAUGAAGAGAAGCCUUGGCAGGAAAAUACAACUGGAGGUGGCCUCUCGAUGCAGAUGGAAACUGACAAUCCCCGAGUAUAUUCUCCUGUGCGGAUGGAAAUGAGCAAAGGGCCUUCAGUGUCUCCAGUGCCAAAGUCUAGAUCAGCAUCACCCAUUCCAAGACAAAUGUCAAGUCCGCAUAAGGUUCAAAUAGGAUCAUUCACUGAUGGGAGGUUUGAUUCUCCAGGGAAGACCCCUCCAAGGCAAUCAUCUACACCAUUGAGACAAAGGUCCCCAUCUCCUGUAAGAGCUAGAUUGCCUUCACCUGCAAAAAAUGUGUCAGCAUCACCAUCUAGAUCCGCAUCACCGGCAAACUACACAUCUGCUUCACCUACCAGGCACCAAUUACAUUCUCCUACAAAUUCUGUGCCUCAUGUUUCACGCAGAUCACUUUCUCCUGCAGAGCAUCCUUCUUCACCCAUUAGGCGCAGACCAGCCUCUCCUGCGAUGCAAAUGUCAGGUUCUCCUGGUAGACACAGAUCAGGCUCACCUAGGAGGUACAAUUCUCCGUCACCUGAAAGGCGCAGAUCAGCCUCACCUAGGAAGUACAUUUCACCUUCACCUGAAAGGCACAGACCAGCCUCACCUAGGAGGUACAUGUCCCCUUCACCGGAAAGGCACAGAUCGGCCUCACCUAGGAGGUAUAUGUCACCUUCACCUGAAAGGCACAGAUCAGCCUCACCCAGGAAGUACAAGUCACCUUCACCUGAAAGGCACAGACCAUCUCUUCCCAGAAGGGAGAUACCAUCUUCUCCAGCAAGGCACAGGUCUCCAGUUUCUAGGCAUGUAUCUCCAUCUCUGAAAAGAAGGUAUUCACCUCAAGAAGUUCGACGUAAGCAUGACCAGUCACGGUCCCCUGUUGGAAGACAUGGUGUUUCACCUGGUUACGGAAGAGGUUAUCAUGGUAGAUCUCGGUCCAGGUCACCUGCACGAAACUAUUAUCGAAGAUCACCCAGGGGUCGUUAUUCACCAAGGAACAGAUAUUCUCCAAGGCGCAGGUCCCCUCAAAGAUAUCGCCCUCGACACCGGUCUCCAAGACGCAGGCCUUGGUCCCCACCACCAAACAGGAACACUGGUCUUGGAAAACCUGGAAAUAACUUAUUUAUAGCAGGAUUCAGCUUUGACACCACAGAGAGAGAUUUGGAGAGGAAGUUUAGUAGAUUUGGAAAAGUCACUGAUGUUCGUGUUGUUCGAGAUAAGCGGUCUGGAGAUUCUAGAGGUUUUGGGUUUCUAACACUCGAGAGAGAUGAGGAUGCAGAUGCUGCAAUAAGAGCACUUGAUCAAACUGAGUGGAAAGGUCGAAUUGUUCUCAUCGAGAAGGCAAAGACCCCAACAAGAUACUGAAUAAGCUCGAGAGGUUAUCCUAGAAUAUUUUUUACUAAUUGCUUGUAUUGGCAUUUAAUUUGUUAUUAGAGCAUUUUAAAGUGUUAAACUUGACAGAAUACUCAAAGUUCUAUCAGUUAGUGCAUAUGAUAUGUGGCAUUCAACGAACCUCUGUUCGACUACCCACUAGGUUUUGGAAGCACCAGAAGUACACAGAUGCUUGGUAGUUUCUAAAGGUCGCCCAGCGGCUAUCUGUACCUUUUUCCAUUUGUUCCCGAGAACUUGUACAUUAUCUUUUCUCGAGCAUUUUUAUGGUUGGCGCUUUUGUACCCGGAACAUUUUGGACUUGGUCAUGAUUGCAUUUGCACUUCCUGAACCACACGGUGGCAUUGUCAAAUCUAUGUACCUUCCACAUGUACAGUCACUAGCAUUGCAUGUACCAUAUUGCCAUGUUUUUUGACUUGGAGCGAUGAGUGAACAAUGAACAUCAAUGGUACACUGCGUGAUGAUCACUGUGCAGAGCUUGUGGAUAAUGUUUUUCAAUUUUAUAGCAAUUUUUUCUUUGUAAUUUACACUGCAGGAAACACAAUGGCUAUCAUAUAUAAGGGUAAGUUAAUUUUAAAUUUCAGCAGGAAAUACAUAAUUUGCUCAAGUGGCCAAAGAAGCUGUCAGGCAUGUGAAGGUAUGGUAAGAUUCCUAUCAGUGGAUUGUAUGUAUGGAUUACCAGGUGGCAUGUCUUCUAUUGUUUGGUGCUAUAGAAUAUUAGUUGUCAAGUCUUCUGUUGUUUGGUGCCAAGAGUAACAGUGUUAGAUGAGUAUAACAUGUCAUGCUUUGACAUCAACAGGAUAUUACUAAGUUUUUGAGCUGCUUAGUAUCAUGUGAUGUAAUAGAGGAUCAAUUUUUAGGUUCUGUGGCAUCCUUGCCAAUCACAUGAUUAGCAAUGUAGAUUAUUUUUCCCUAUGUUGGUACAGGAAUUACUUGUGGUGAGCCUAGAUCUAUCAUGUAAGUUGUUUGGUUUGACAAUUAUGAGGGGCAUGCUUAAUUGUGGAGGUCUAGAAUCUUAUGAUCGUGCAAUAUUUCUAAAUAGUGAUCCAAAUCCUGGGAAAUUUUAUACUAGCAGUUGAUAGGUGCUGUGCGGAAUCCCCUAAUCUUGGUACAUUUAAAUGCAUGAACAUGAAUUAGUUGAUGUGACACAAGCGUGUACUUUUUGUAAGCAGUUGACUACCAUUUUCUGUCUUAUGGACUACAUUACACAAUGUUCUUUUAAGUAGCUGUAGAUGUAGCUGAUUAUCAUUAAACUAUAUAUGCUUUGAACAAGCGAGAGUUAACACCAAAUUAGUGUGCACAAACAACGGCUCAGCAUCUGGAAAUGUGCCAAUUUCGGUUUCCAUGCAUGCCUAAUUGCAUCCCAAGUUCCUUUUUCUGUUAACUAAGACACAUGCUUGACCUGAAGAAUGAAGAUAUAUGAUGGUUCUCUUGACAACCCUUUGCAGGGGAUAAAUGUCCCUACAGAUACCAACAGGUAUGUUCUGCAGAUUUGUCUUUUUAUUUCAAAGAUCACAUAAUUCUAACUACAACAAUUUUUUGUUCUGCAUUGACUACCACUAUGAAAAGCUUCAGGGCUACAUUUUUGGAAGUUAUACAAAGAAGCACAUGUUUGUGCUCUACAAAUUUAAAGUUCCAUACUGAAAGCUCCAGGAAUUUUCAUAAAGAUUUUAUAUCAAAAGCUUCGCCAUAGUAAGAAGCCACUGCAUGUGUUUUAACAUUGGUCUGAAGAGGUUGGAUAAAAACAGCUUUGUUUACAACGUACAGACUUAUCAGACAAAAGUAGUUACUUGAACUGAUAGCAAUCAUGGUUAAGUGUAGUGUUGAAUGCAGAUGUAUUGUAGGUUAUUCUCGCAUGUUCCAUAUCAGGAUGCAACAUUGGGGGUUGUUAAAUACUGGAGUAAAACUUGACAAUCAGGUUUAAUGGAGAAAUUUGACAAGGGACUGGUAUGGAAAAUUUGGCUAGAUUGUGCUGUGAAUAUAACAAAAGCCAAAGGAACUACUGUACCAGUAUGGAAGAUUCUGGUAGAUUGUGCUGUGAAUUACAAAAGCCAAGUGAACUCUUGUACUGUUAUGGAAAAUUCUUAUAGAUUGUGCUAUGAUUGACAGGCCGAAGGAACUAUUGUACUGGUAUGGGAAAUUCUGGUAGAUCUGCUGUGAAUGACAAAAGCCAACAGUACAUGUUCAGAUCAAUUAGAAACAUGCCUAGUGUGCUAUCUCAUGGAAGAUUCUUUACUGCAGUUUUUCUUGCAAAUAUCUGUAGCUGCAAACGUGAUUUUAUGUAUACUUUUGUCCACUCUUCAUGAUAGAUUGGGCUUUUGUCAACCCUGUUGAGGAUACAAAAUAAAUUCUUUUUUGGCAACA